rnacentral:rRNA from 1 species
UCCUACGGGAGGCAGCAGUGGGGAAUAUUGCGCAAUGGGGGGAACCCUGACGCAGCCAUGCCGCGUGAAUGAAGAAGGCCUUCGGGUUGUAAAGUUCUUUCGGUAAUGAGGAAGGGAUGUUGUUAAGUAGAUAGCAUCAUUGACGUUAAUUACAGAAGAAGCACCGGCUAACUCCGUGCCAGCAGCCGCGGUAAUACGGAGGGUGCGAGCGUUAAUCGGAAUAACUGGGCGUAAAGGGCACGCAGGCGGACUUUUAAGUGAGAUGUGAAAUCCCCGAGCUUAACUUGGGAACUGCAUUUCAGACUGGGAGUCUAGAGUACUUUAGGGAGGGGUAGAAUUCCACGUGUAGCGGUGAAAUGCGUAGAGAUGUGGAGGAAUACCGAAGGCGAAGGCAGCCCCUUGGGAAUGUACUGACGCUCAUGUGCGAAAGCGUGGGGAGCAAACAGGAUUAGAUACCCUGGUAGUCC